rnacentral:rRNA from 1 species
GACGAACGCUGGCGGCGUGCCUAAUACAUGCAAGUCGAACGCAGUGGGGACGGGUGAGUAACACGUGGGUAACCUCCCAUCAGAGGGGAUAACACUUGGAAACAGGUGCUAAACCGAUACUGAUGGAUGGACCCGCGGUGCAUUAGCUAGUUGGUGGGGUAACGGCUCACCAGGGACACGAUGCAUAGACGAACUGUGAGGGUGAGCGGUCACACUGGGAUGACGACACGGCCCAGAUUCCGAGGGGAGGCAGAAGUAGGGAAUCGUCGGCAAUGGACGAAAGUCUGACCGAGCAACGCCGCGUGAGUGAAGAAGGUUUUCGGAUCGUAAAACUCUGUUGUUAGAGAAGCGGUAUCUAACCAGAAAGCCACGGCUAACUACGUGCCAGCAGCCGCGGUAAUUC